AUAUGGAGUUGUAACUACAAGUUACUUCCAGCUAAAGUAUGGACGUUUGCCGACUUCGUGGGGAAACGCUUCGCUUCGCCGCCGCAAUUCCCAGCUCUCUCCCCGCUCCUCGCCUCGCCGGCCGGCGUUCGCCGCGCUCGUGGACGCCCUCCGGGUGGCGCCCAGCGACCCCGCCGCCUUACCAACCGGCAGCCCUUUUCCUCGAGCCCAGAACGGAUCGUCGGGUUUGGGCGUCUCCGUUUGGUCGUCUCGAGACCUUCUUGGAUCGUCCGGACCGAGAUGUUGACUACUGAUUGCAUUGCAACCUACUUGAGCAUUGCACAUGUCACAUCAACGCAUAUGAGGGUCUAAGUCAAAUGUUAGGAAAGGAAAAGGAAGAAACCAGAUCCACCUUGUAUUGUUGGUGAUACAAGUGCUGGAGUCGAUUGUCCCUACUGUCAGGGAAGAGUCAAAUGUUAGGAAAGGAAAAGGAAGAAACCAGAUCCACCUUGUAUUGUUGGUGAUACAAGUGCUGGAGUCGAUUGUCCCUACUGUCAGGGAAGAGGUCUCUCGCUUUCUACAUGUGGAUGCACAUACCUAGCAAUUAGUGGCUGGACAGAUUGUUUUCAGGUUAUGCUUCCAAAAGCAGAGUGCAAAAGGGUGACACCCACUUUUCACAUGUUGCUACAUUGAUGUCUGCACUGAAAAUACUUGUGAUGUUAGUUAUGCGACAAAUCUGUACUCUUCCCAGAUGCAAGUUAUGUAGUAAAAGUGGACUUGGUAUUGUAACCCAUGCUUUGGAACAGUGGAAUGCAGAGAUAUAAUGGGUUUUCACUAUAUGAAGAUCAAUGGCGAACCAUCGUGGCAUCACGAAGAGAAGUAACAAUAUUUCGUAAUGUAUCUAGUCCUAGAGAUACUGAUUUGGAUCAUCUUUAUUUCUUUUUUUUUUAUAACAAUUACUGAUUGGAUCAUCUUGUCUCUGCUUUCUUCUACUUUAUGCAAAUAGUCAUUCAACUGAACUGUGAUUUCUGCCAUAUGUCAUUUUGUUUUAGCUACUACAAUGGAUGGCGAUCAAUGUCUUUCAAUUGCAGAUGCCAAUUGUCAAGUGCCUUCAACUCGGUCCCAAUUUGAACCUCAGAUUGGAUGGUAAAGGCUUGAUGCCAGCUGUUUUUUGUCAGCUGUUCCAUAUCAAUAUCCAUAUAGAUACAGAUGACUCCGUUAUUGUUAACUUGUCAUUAAUGUUUGUUUUGUAUCAGAACAGAUUAGUGGGGGUGUUGGGGUAUUGGAGUCUGUAAUGAGGAGAGCCUCCUGUUCUGUUUCCUUGUUGACCAGCAAGUUGACUGUCGAAUGAGCUCAUUUUCAUCAUCUUGAAGGUAUGUAAGAUUUGAAGGCGAGGUUUGUCCGGGAGAGUGCUCAGGAGCUCAACAGAGACUAUGAGCUUGUGACCUCCAUAGUGUAAGGGAUUGCAGAAGGGUUCUCGCAGAAACCAUAAAUCUCAUGGUAGCCUCAUUCCACCUCCGCCAAUGUUUUAGGGCUUAAACAGCGAGGAACCAGACACAGCUCUCCUGAUUAUCUCAAAGAUCCAGCAGGUUUGAUGAACAUGUCAAAACCCUGAAAGAACUCUCUAAUGGAGGCGACGAGCCUACCACCAUCUCUGAUUGGCUAUGGUGUCACCAGCAAGAGGAGUGACAGGCAUGGAUAACACUGCAAGAAAGUAGUUGGAACCAAGCGAUCUUGGCUCCCAAUCAUAGUUGGUGAGGAUUAGCUGGAGCCCCAUUGCCACCUGUGGCUCCUUCCAUUCCAAGGUUUGUAUGUUCCGGCUGCUGCUUUGCCGGCUUCACAAGUAACAUAAAUAAUUUUUCCUCGACACAUCCCAUGCAAGUUGUAGUUAUAAAUAUCCAUCAAGUUAUUUACCCAAGAAAAGCUCCUGCCAGCUUGACCUUGUAAGUCCAGGACUUAUGACUAAUCUAUUGCUUUAGUAGGGAUUAUAGACAAAUUUCUAGGCAUAAUCCAUGUGAAGGAAAGUUAUUGAAUCUUGA